CACGUAGGGGCCGAGCGUUGUCCGGAGUUACUGGGCGUAAAGGGCGCGCAGGCGGCCACGUACAUCUCUGGUGAAAGCCCCGGGCUCAACCCGGGAGGGUCCAGGGAGAUGGCGGUGGCUGGAGGCAGGGCGAGGGCGGUGGAAUUCCGGGUGUAGUGGUGAAAUGCGUAGAGAUCCGGAGGAACACCAGUGGCGAAGGCGGCCGCCUGGACCUGACCUGA
rnacentral:rRNA from 1 species